CCUAGACCACUGAGUUAUUCAAUUGAAGUCUCCGUAGAUAUGAGAUUAUUUAGACAACCCAUGUGUUUACCACCUGCUUCUUGUUCUUCCUUCCCUUUUUGGCUGGUGAUCGAAGGUCUCUAUUUUUGUGGUCAUAGCACCAGGAUGCUCAUAUGUUAGUAUCUAUUUUCAGGUCUUCACAUGUGAAAAAUAGCUGUCAAAGAGAUUUCCUCCCUAUGCAUGAAACCCUAGCAUGUCUUUUUCGCUAGGUGCCUGGCAUGUCUAGAAGGUUAUUCAUUGUUGCAGAAAUGAAAUAUGAGAUCAUGGAUAAGACAGUGGAGUUGAUGCUGCUUUCUGCAUAGGCAAAGGCAACUUUUGAUCCUUUCAUUUUCGUUUCCUGAAUCUUACAUUCCUUCAUGGUCAUUAUAAUGAUGGCAUGAAACACGAUGCAGAAAGCAGCACCAGCUCAAUCUUACAAGUUAGUUGAUGUUUUUGCAUCACCGGCCCAGUCUUACACGUUGAUGAUACUAUGCCCAGAAACGCCUCGAUACCUUCAGAUCAAAGUUAAAAUGCUCAGGGAAGAGCUACAGAUAAGGAACCUGGCUCUUAUGUUGGCGAGGUGGUGAAGGUCAUGGGCAAAUCCAAGGUUCUGGUGAAGGUCAUGACCAAAUCUAAUGUUCUAGUGAAGGUAAUUUCUUCUACAAUUAAUGGAAGCAAUGGCGGACACCUUCCUCGAGCUCUUCCUGGAAAGGCUCGGCGUCCAGAAAAAGGAAGUAGCAAAUCUAAAAAUCUGGAGACUUGCAUUGCAAGGUAUCACUACAUUGGCAUUUUUGUAGCAAAUGCAUAACGUCCUGAGAUUUUUCAGUUUCUCGGUGAUAGUCCAUGAUUCUGUUGUCCUAGCAGAAUGAAUAUGAAGGUCAUUUAUCACAUGGCAUCAAGUGUAUCUUGGGUGUAAAAAUGAAGUGUGUGAGAUAUUGGCAAUAUAUACUAUAAACAUGGCGGUCUUUUCUCCCAUUUCCAAAUUAAUAGGAGAACUACACAAUCAGCAAACAUAUGGCUAGCAAGGGCGGCGUCUAUGCUUGUGACCGGUUUCUGGUGGGUCUGAUGCAAUGUGUGUAAAUGGUGCAGUGGGACGAUUGAUGCAAUGUAUGACCUCAC